GGCUCAAUGGUCUAGUCGAAUGAUUCCUGCUUUGGGCUCUAUAUCUCAUAUGCAGGAGGUCCCGGGUUCAACUCCCGGUUGAGCCC